CUUAUAAGAAAUAUCAUAUGUUGUUAAUUGUACAGUUAAAUAUUUAAUGCAAAAUUUGUUUCGGUUUGCCACAUAUUUCAAAAUUAGUUGCGCUAAUAAAUAUAUUUAUGAAAAUUGUUUUUGCUUUAAUAUAAGUGUAUAAAAAGAGUUUGCAAGCCCAUGUUAGUUAAAAAAUUGUCUCGUUCAUUAUACGAUCAAUAAGUAUGUUGUCUACAUUUGCAAUACCCUUAACUUUACUAUUUGGAUUCAUAGGAAUGCUGUUAGCACAGCCAUACCCUGAUGGAGAUUUGUGCGAUUUCAAAAACGAUCCAGGAUGCGUCUAAUAUGGGCUUAUUGCUAACAGCUUUUCAUAUAAGAGAAAUCCAGAAGAAAUUAGUUUCUGCAAAUAUGUCAGCUUUACUAAAAUAAAUGUUUAAAUCAACGAA